UUCAAUGUUAGUAUUUGAUUGUAACCUAAGGAAACUUGAUACGAAUUCCUGAAUAGUUAAAAUGAACGCAUGCAAAAUUUAAACGUGAGCGUAACAUACAGAAGUGACUAAUAUGAACACAGGACUAAGAAAAGGUGUUUUUCGGUUUUAAACAAAGUAAAUAGGUUUCGUUUGCAUAAUAUGAUGGAUGAUCCGCUUUGCCUCAUGAACAUCAUCAGGGUUAUUGCAUCGUGGGUGCUGAUUGCGUCACCGCGACGAACAUAUAUCCGAAGACCUUAAACAAGUUAAUUCCAAAGACAGGGCGUUUAUACGCUAUGAAAUAUACACACUUUGUUACAGUAUGUGAUCUGAACUUGCCAAAUAUCAACCGGGAUGAUACGUCUACAGACAGGGGACCAGGUGACUUCAGUUAUGAUUUUGUGGAGUGUGUCAGAGACAGCUUCUGGUAUCAACACGUACAUGAGCCAACGCGUGGAAGGGGAGACGCAGAUUCAUCACUUCUAGACGUUGUAUUCAGCAAUGAGGAAGGAAUGAUAAACAGUGUAAGCAUUGAAAACCCGCUAGGGAAUAGUGACCACUCUGUUAUAAUAUUUAACUUCAGCGGUUAUUCUGAAAAUCAUCAUGCAAAAGAGAGACUUAACUUUGGAAAAGCCGAUUUUGAUGGAAUGAAAGAGACACAUAGCAUAGAUUGGGAAAGUGCCAUGAGAAAUAAAACAAUAGAUGAACAAUGGAAAAAAGAAACUAGAUGAAUUGGUUAUCAACAAAUCUCCAGGUCCUGACAAGCUUAGCCCAAGAAUACUGAAAAAAAGUAACACAUGAGCAUUACCAAUCUGUAUCAUCUUCAAAAAUAGUAUAGACACAGGUGCUCUGACUGAUGAAUGGAAAACAGCAAACAUUACUGCUAUUUAUAAAAAGGGAGACAAAAAAGAUGCCGGUAACUAUAGGCCCAGUUAGCUUAACAUGCAUUCUGUGUAAACUGCUCGAAAAGAUAGUGAGGGAGAAAAUGAUAAAACAAAUGAAGAAUAACAAUCUAUUUAGUGAACAACCUAUCAUAUGAAGAACGAUUAAAGAAACUGAAUAUACCAACGCUUAGUUACAGAAGAGUGAGAGGGGAUAUGAUAGAAGUUUAUAAACUACUGAAUGGAAAAUAUUAUUAUGAUGAAAAGGUAUUGUUAAAACUCAAUCAAGAAAGUGUAACUAGGGGAAACAAUUAUAAAUUAUACAAGACAAGACCUCGUUUGGACAUCAGAAAGUACCCAUUAAGCCAUUGAGUCGUUGACAUCUGGAACUCGUUACCAAACAGCGUCAUUACAGCUAGAUCAAUAAAGUCAUAGGAGGCAAGACUUGAUAAAUACUGGAAAAACCAAGAAAUUGUUUACAACUUUGAAUAAAAAAUCUCAACCGGAAGAGAUAAAGAAAAUGAAGAGCUUGAGUCAGAGACUGGGGGCCUUCUUCAAGAAUUCAUUUAAGAUAAUCUAAGGUUAGAGGCACAGUGUCUUCCUUCGGGGUCCUAGUGAGCUCCGCCCCGGUAAGGUGUGUUCCUGGAUCCAGAUGCGUCCCAUGGGCGCUGUAUCGGUGGUUGAGGCUGCAAGAGCCAAGCUGUAGGGCCGUUUCCGACUGGCGGUUUGGGGAAUCCAUGCGAGGUGCGUGUUGGGCCGUUUCCGAUUGGCGGUUUGGGGGAUCCCUGCGGGGUGCGUGUUGGGCCGUUUCCAACUGGCAGUUUGGGUGGUCCCUGCUAGGUGCGUGUUGGCGAGGAUUCCUCCUCCGGGAAGGCGAUUGCGAUUGUUGCUUUCGCGGAGUCCUGCGCUCAAGCACAAGGGAAGCAUCGCGCUGGCUACGCUCCUGCGAUACAGCCUUGUUCGAGUCGUUGGAAUGGGCACGAGGAGCCUGUGACAUGGCUGGCUGUGUAUGGGAUCUGUUUACAUUUCUAGCUGGAGCAAACUGUGUGUUUGUGAAAAAAUGGUUGUGCUUUGUAACACGGCUGCUUUGCAUGAUCGUAUCCCAGUUUGGAAAGGCAUCAGCGACAACGCGACCAUCAUGAAUGAUUUUGGCUGGAUAUAUUAUGCUGGCCUUGCUUUUGGGAUAUUUUUGGCGUAGGCGCUUGAACUGUGGCCAUAAUUGCUUGCGGGCAUCAACAAUCUCGCGUGGAUAAUCUCUAUUUAUGUGAAAAAGUGUUUCAUGGAGCUUGUUAGCAUUCGAGAGGAUGUGCUCAGUGUCACGGAAUCCAGACAGUAUAUAAUGAUGGGUCUUGUGGAGCCGUGCCGGAAUUUCCCCAGCCUGUGUAUUCGGGGGUUAGGAGGACAGGGGUCGAUCUCAAGCUUCUCUCUCAAGAAAGUUGAUAUUUUAUGGAGACAAUUUUCAUCCCUGUCCUCUGGGAUGCCACUUAUUAAAAGGUUAUUUCUGCGACACCUAGCUUCUAGAUCUAUUGACUUGUACUCUGCCGAUCAUGGUCAGACAGUGUUGUUUCCAUAGUGUUUACUUUAUUUUGUUAGUUUAGACGGUCAACUUUAUGAGAUAUGCCUUUCAUUUCCUGGAACAGCAUAGACAGCUUAGCAUCAAGUGAGAGACUCUCGUAGUCCGACAAUGUUUGGGACCGUUCGUACUCACUGUUACUGCUGCCCGUGUUUACCCGAGGCCGCUUUUUCUCUCUUGUAGUCGUUGACCAAGGUCCGCCAUUUUGGCUGAAAGUCUCAUUUUCCAACACAUUAAAAUCGUUUCUGGUGAGAAAUUGUGAUCGGGCGUCCGAGUUUUGAUGUUCCAUGUUUGUGAAAUGCUUGAACUUACACUUGUACACAUUAACAUACCAUUAUUCAAUGUUUAUAACAUUCUUUUCGUUGUUUUUGCUAUUUUAUUUACUCUGCUAGAAAAAACCGCGGUUAUCCGCGCACUCGACCGGAAGUACAGUUAAAUGUUAAA